ACCCCGACGCCGCACCACCAAAACCGCCCAGCUCGGAUCCCUGCUGUUGCCAUUCCUUCUUCCCCAGACUCGCCCCCGAUCCCGGCGUCCAGCUCCGAUUCGCGCCCCCAAUCCUAGCACCAAUUCGCCGCUCCCACCUUCAGACGCGACCCCAAUACAGGCGCCCAGUUCGGAUCCUGGCGGCGCCGCAUCAACCUGUCGUCGGCGCUCCUUCACCCACGAGACGCGUCCCCAACUCCGGCGCCGUACCACCCCCAUCCUGGCGCGUCUCAGCCUCCCGUCGGUUUGUCUUCUGGUGCGUCAAUUUGUCUCCUAUUCACCGCUUUACUCGAUUCCUCAUGUGCGUUGAUUCAGGUUCUCUCCACUUUUCUGGAUCGGCGGUGACGGCCCCCAAGAUCCGCCGGAGCCGUCCACCUCAGGGCCGCCCGAUCGCCGGAGAACAAGGCGGCUGCGUCCACCUCGCCCUCGGUGCCGCCCGAUUGCCGGAGAACAAGGCGGCUGCCGCGGCCAAAGACGCGGCACCGGCGCCGCUCGCUGCGCUUGCUCCAUCUCCCUCGCCAGCAGGGCAGAGGAUCUCCGGCUGGCAGGCCACGGGGUCAGUGCGCGCGCCCAUGCGGGUCGUCAAACUGGCCUCCGCCAUGCCUUCCUCGAGCAGAUCCACCUCCUAGCGUGGGGCCUCGGGCGCCAAGCAGCUCACGCGGCGACUGCGCCUGCAAGAAGACACAGGCGGAAGUGGCGGCAGGGAGGAGGACGAGCGCCUGCCGCUUCUGCUUAUUAUGCAAAUCAAUGAGUGUAUCAUCAGCGUCAGUCCAUCGCUCCCACCGGCACCGGCGACGGCCCACUCGGCCAGGUUCAGCGUCGAGUGUCUGAAACGACAAGGUCAACUUGCGGGGUUGCGGCGCCUGGCUCCAUCAUCAUCACCUGAAGCUGUCGAUUUCUUCUAAGGACACAUUGCAGGUGUGAGAGCAUCGAGUAAUCUCUGCACCAGGAUCACAUUAGAGCAGAUUGGUCAUAACAAGCAAGUUUGACAUUUGUUUGCAUUAUGGAAGACAUCCAAACUCGCUGUUAUGUCAGAUGCUGGUGAAAGCUGAAACAUCUCUGAGGGAAAUGUAGAAAAAUCUUGCUAGCGUCAUCGUUUAUAUCUUUCCGAGACAUACAUUUGUGUGCCUGUAAUAUGAUUUCCAAGGCAUCCCGGUGCAUAUGAUAUAUAAAUUCUUUCAUGUAUACUUUGUUCAAAAUUUCUAGCUGCUAAUCCUUAUUUUAUUUUAUUCA